UCUGUUAUUCCAGAGCAGGGCAGCCUUUCUCUUCCUCGAAGUCUGCACGGCCAGGGAAAGCUGCGUUUCCCCCUAUCUGCUUUGAACUGGCCUUAGACAAAGGAGGGAAUAUCUCACAAAGGGAGUGAUAACAGCAGUGCCUCCCUGCAAACCAGGUCCUUGCUCUGCAGCAGAGCACCACCUUGCCCCAUUGGAUGCUGGUGAGGAUGUUGUGGCCCUUGGGAAUGUCGCAGCCCAGCCUGGCCAGUGCCUGGGCUUCUCGUGUGGGAGCAGAGCUUGGGAACAGGCAGGAGCAGACCAGGAAACAGCAGAACCGCAGCACUGCAUUUCCUCCCAAGCACUGAGCAGCAAACACUUUCCUUGUGGGCUGCAUGGAAAACUCAUCCUUGUACGGCUCAUCCAGCCUCAUCUUCACCCUCAAUGGCUGCUUCACAAAGUUGGGAGGCAUCUUGGGCUAAUGGAGACGUUUCCCCUCUAUCUGCUGGAAUCUGGGCGUCUGGAAGCAGAGGAGCUCUCAUCCCGCUCCAGGCGGGGCUGAUGGGAUUUGCACCGGUCCCAGUUGCCAUGGAGAAAGUGUUGGAUGGUUUUAAUACAUCUCUGUGAAUUUCUCCCCGGAGUUUUCCCAUGGCAGGCUGGACCGGAGGCACAGAGCGUGAUGGGAUCAGGUAAAGCGGAGCUGAUGUUUUCAGCGAGAAAGGAGACGGCAGAAGAAUGAGGAGGAGCAGAGAGGGAAGGGCUGGCUGUCAGAACCCACGGAGCCUUCUGGAAACAUCGGGAGCAAGACCAGGAUGGGGCUGCCUCGCUUGGCGUGGGUGUGAUGUGCUGAUGAGAAGUGCCUGCAGCCCUGUCCAUCCCCUCCGCUUCCAUCACUGGAGAGGUUCCUGGGACCGAAGAGAUGAGGUGAAGCAGAGACGUGAAACGUUCAGUGUGGGGCCCCCGCGAUGAAGCUGUUGGAUGGAUGAAUAUGGAGUGGCUGAGGUGACCUUCUCAGGAGGUGAUGGAUGCUCUGCCUGUCCCCUGCAUCCCUGGUGCCUGCCGAAGGGAUGGAGCCCUUUGCAGGACAGCGCUCGGCAAAACCCCCACCAACGACAGGGUGCUCGUCACCAAACCACCGCUGUAUGUAGAUCCAUGGGAUUAAUCGCUUUAUCAUCCAAAUACAGGUGGAUUAAUGCACUCUCUUAAUACUCUGUUUAAGCAGCUGAUUUUUUAAAAAGCUGAAUAAUUGGGGGGAAUUACUGUAAAAUCAGAAAAUUUAACAGUUUAUUUACUGCUUAUUGUCAGAGCUGAUGGCCAAGAAAAGCCGGUAGGUCCACACCACGGCCAUGGCCCAAGGGAUGGCCAGGACCUGGGGAGGGAUGGCAGGGAUCAGGGGGAUGCUGGUGUUAUGUAGCCCUGGCUGUGGAAAACAGGCACACCAAAAGCAGCUUCCUCUGUCUCCCUUUUAGCUGCUGAGGAAGUGUUUGCAGUGAUUGCUCCGGCUGGUGCAGCCAAGUCCUGUUAUCAAAACAAGACUGAAAAAGCAAGGAAAUAAUUAAAAAAACCCACCCUGAGGCACUGUUAUUUUCUCUGGAUAAAAACACUUCUUUUGGUAGAAGUGGCAGCAAAACACUUUCAUCUCAGCCCCCCUCUCUGUAACAGCCCAUCUGCUAAGGCAAAUCUGGUGACCGCGUGCCUCAUGUUGUGACU